rnacentral:rRNA from 1 species
GAUGAACGCUGGCGGCGUGCCUAAUACAUGCAAGUCGAGCGAACGGACGAGAAGCUUGCUUCUCUGAUGUUAGCGGCGGACGGGUGAGUAACACGUGGAUAACCUACCUAUAAGACUGGGAUAACUUCGGGAAACCGGAGCUAAUACCGGAUAAUAUUUUGAACCGCAUGGUUCAAAAGUGAAAGACGGUCUUGCUGUCACUUAUAGAUGGAUCCGCGCUGCAUUAGCUAGUUGGUAAGGUAACGGCUUACCAAGGCAACGAUGCAUAGCCGACCUGAGAGGGUGAUCGGCCACACUGGAACUGAGACCCGGUCCAGACUCCUACGGGAGGCAGCAGUAGGGAAUCUUCCGCAAUGGGCGAAAGCCUGACGGAGCAACGCCGCGUGAGUGAUGAAGGUCUUCGGAUCGUAAAACUCUGUUAUUAGGGAAGAACAUAUGUGUAAGUAACUGUGCACAUCUUGACGGUACCUAAUCAGAAAGCCACGGCUAACUACGUGCCAGCAGCCGCGGUAAUACGUAGGUGGCAAGCGUUAUCCGGAAUUAUUGGGCGUAAAGCGCGCGUAGGCGGUUUUUUAAGUCUGAUGUGAAAGCCCACGGCUCAACCGUGGAGGGUCAUUGGAAACUGGAAAACUUGAGUGCAGAAGAGGAAAGUGGAAUUCCAUGUGUAGCGGUGAAAUGCGCAGAGAUAUGGAGGAACACCAGUGGCGAAGGCGACUUUCUGGUCUGUAACUGACGCUGAUGUGCGAAAGCGUGGGGAUCAAACAGGAUUAGAUACCCUGGUAGUCCACGCCGUAAACGAUGAGUGCUAAGUGUUAGGGGGUUUCCGCCCCUUAGUGCUGCAGCUAACGCAUUAAGCACUCCGCCUGGGGAGUACGACCGCAAGGUUGAAACUCAAAGGAAUUGACGGGGACCCGCACAAGCGGUGGAGCAUGUGGUUUAAUUCGAAGCAACGCGAAGAACCUUACCAAAUCUUGACAUCCUUUGACAACUCUAGAGAUAGAGCUUUCCCCUUCGGGGGACAAAGUGACAGGUGGUGCAUGGUUGUCGUCAGCUCGUGUCGUGAGAUGUUGGGUUAAGUCCCGCAACGAGCGCAACCCUUAAGCUUAGUUGCCAUCAUUAAGUUGGGCACUCUAAGUUGACUGCCGGUGACAAACCGGAGGAAGGUGGGGAUGACGUCAAAUCAUCAUGCCCCUUAUGAUUUGGGCUACACACGUGCUACAAUGGACAAUACAAAGGGCAGCGAAACCGCGAGGUCAAGCAAAUCCCAUAAAGUUGUUCUCAGUUCGGAUUGUAGUCUGCAACUCGACUACAUGAAGCUGGAAUCGCUAGUAAUCGUAGAUCAGCAUGCUACGGUGAAUACGUUCCCGGGUCU